CUAACAUCGUGGGCGUGUGUACCCACUACCCAGCCGAGGGCUCCCAGAGACAAGCCUUCCAGGAGACCAGGGAAUGCAUACAGGCUCGCCUCCACUCACAGAGGGAGAACCAGCAGCAGGAGCGUCUCCUGCUCUCCGUGCUUCCCCGUCAUGUUGCCAUGGAGAUGAAAGCUGACAUUAACGCCAAGCAGGAAGACAUGAUGUUUCACAAGAUCUACAUCCAGAAGCACGACAACGUCAGUAUCCUGUUUGCAGAUAUUGAAGGGUUUACCAGUCUGGCGUCCCAGUGUACUGCCCAGGAGCUGGUGAUGACUCUCAAUGAACUGUUUGCCCGCUUCGAUAAGCUGGCUGCGG